GGGACACACUUCCUGCCUCCGCGAAGCGCUACCGCGCACCUGGACCGAGGCCCCGCCCCGGGGCUCUGCAGAGCUGCGCGUCCCCGCUCGAGUGCUCGGCCCGUUCAGCCUAGUCCGGCCCGCCCCGCGGCCCCGCCUCCCCGCAGCGCUGACCUCCACGCCCGGACCCCUGGCCACCCCGACAAGCUUCGCCGAGGUGCCGACCGACCGACUGAUCGCGGACGCCGGCUGGAAGGACUACGGAUCCGCAGGAAGAGGCAGUUGGGGGCCAGGGGCCCAGUAGAGGAGGCUGAGCUCCUUCCAACUCCUCAGAACCUCCACUCUAUGGAUCUGGACCUCUGGAUUCGGCUUUCUCCCUGGGCACUGCCUUCAGGAAGACGUUGAGAAUUGACCUUACACAAUCCCAGCGCCCUCCUCACAGGAGCCUUUCACUUUACAGUGGCAAGGGGCUGGUUCUGGAGAACUGGCUGAUGCUCUGAAUUUCUUCAUAUACCCCACAUUUGACUUUGGCUUACACUGUACAAUUGGAGAUGUUGCUACAGGUCCCUGAGAUGCAAUCAGAUUAAGCGUAGCAAGCAUUGCCAAUGGGAAAGUCAAAAUAAUUUAUUUUUUUUCCCUUUCCCCCUACCCCAUCCCCAGCCAAGAAUUUCUUUUCAAGAUAUCGUCAUCAUUCUUAAACAACAUUCUUAACCCCCAGCUGGGGUCCCCAUUUUAAUAGAUGUCAUUGCUUCAAGUCUAACGGCGCCGGGAGGCCUGUUUGAGGGAAAACAUUAGUUUGAAAAAUCCCCGUUCCCUUCAUCCACUGCCCUUGUUCUCCACGUGGGAGUGUGCUUGUGGCCCCUCAGAAAGAUAGUCUGCUGGCUCCUAGGGGUUGGGGUGGGGGACACACCUUUUUCUCAGGAAGAGGUGAUGGCAAUGUAAAACAUCUAAGCAAAGUUUUAAAUGAAAAAAAGGAAACACAUUUAAACAUCCUGAUAAUGGAGGGAAGGGGGGCACAUUUACACAUAGCCCAGAACUUGUAGAAUUCUGCAUAGUGAAUGUAUAUUGAAUUAGUCUCCUGCCUUAUACAUUCAGGAGGAAUAAAUUUCCAUAAUGUAAGGCAAAUGCAUGGGGUUCUGAGGUUCACUUUGCAAGUGCCCUUGCUGCCUUUCCUCUGUGUCUAUUAUGGCUCUUUAAGUUGACGGUUCCUGGAGCAGCUUGUAUUUAGUUUCGUUUGGCAGUCUGGCCCUGUUGACUUUGAUUUGCAGACCAAUUCUCCCUUGACCUGACUCACAGCCGCCUGCUCUUACCCCCCUCCUCAGGAAGUCUUCCUCAUUAAAGGAUGUGAUGACGGAGCUCAGGGAUGAGAAUGCACAUGUGAGACUGUGUGACACCAAGGAGGGUUGUGCGAACUGGUGACAACAUGGCAGCACCAUGGCCUGUGGGGGUUGUGUGACUAGUGUGACUGUGCUGGCGACCAUAUGGACCUGUUUUGUCAGUCGGUGUCUAAGCAGGAGAUGGCACACUCAAACUGGGAAGUGUUUUAAACAUAGGCUAUUCUGGCCUGGCAUGGUGGAUCACACCUGUAAUCCCAGCACUUUGGGAGGCUGAGGCAGGAGGGUUGCUUGAGCUCAGGAGUUCGAGACCAGCCUGGGAGAUCCCUGCUCUAUAAAAAUGAAAAAAUUAGCCAGGUGGGGUGGCACAUGCCUGUGGUACCAGCUACUUAGGAGGCUGAGGUGGGAGGAUUGCUUGAGCCCAGGAGGUCAAGGCUGCACUGAGCUGUGAUCCUACCACUGUGCGCUCCAGCCUGGGCAACAGAACAAGACCCUAUCUCAAGAAAUAAAACAGACUAUUUCCAAAGGCGUGGGCUGGGCUUAAGAAACUAACAAGGGGCUGGGUUUGGUGGCUCACAUUUGUAAUCCCAGUACUUUGGGAGGCCGAGGCAGGCAGAUCACCUGAGGUCAGGAGUUUGAGACCAGUGUGGCCAACAUGGCGAAACCCCAUCCUAUUAAAAAUACAAAAAUUAGCCAGGCGUUGUUGUGUGCACCUGUAGUCCAAGCUCCUUGGGAGGCUGAGGCAUGAGAGUGGCUUGAACCUGGGAGGCGGAGGUUCAAGUGAUUCUUCUGCCUCAGCCUCCCGAAUAGUUGGGAUUACAGGCGCCCAUCACCACACUCAGCUAAUUUUUGUAUUUUUAGUAGAGAGAGGGUUUC
rnacentral:lncRNA from 1 species